rnacentral:rRNA from 1 species
GACGAACGCUGGCGGCGUGCCUAAUACAUGCAAGUCGAGCGGACGGAUGGGAGCUUGCUCCCAGACCGUCAGCGGCGGACGGGUGAGUAACACGUGGGCAACCUGCCUGUAAGACUGGGAUAACUCCGGGAAACCGGGGCUAAUACCGGAUAACUCUUUCCCUCACAUGAGGGAAAGCUGAAAGAUGGCAUCUCGCUAUCACUGACAGAUGGGCCCGCGGCGCAUUAGCUAGUUGGUGAGGUAACGGCUCACCAAGGCGACGAUGCGUAGCCGACCUGAGAGGGUGCUCGGCCACACUGGGACUGAGACACGGCCCAGACUCCUACGGGAGGCAGCAGUAGGGAAUCUUCCGAAAUGGACGAAAGUCUGACGGAGCAACGCCGCGUGAGUGAUGAAGGUUUGCGGAUCGUAAAACGCUGUUGUCAGGGAAGAACAAGUACCGGAGUAACUGCCGGUACCUGGACGGUACCUGACCAGAAAGCCACGGCUAACUACGU